UAGCAACAACACACUUCUGGUAUGCCGCUCCGGCACGAAGUCCCGCGUAACAGUGUGCGAAGCGGCAUGUUAAUAUGUGCAUAAAUUUGGUUUGUGUUGGAAGAAAACCAGUGCGAGGUACACGUGGUCGGGACCAGUGACGGCAGUCUUGUGCUGGUGGCCAUUGGGAAAAGAACGAUUGGAUGCUGCGUAUAUACAUUCGAGAGUGAUCUUCGAUCAAGUGCACAGUGAUUCCCAAGUGUUUCUUAAUAUCCUUCCACAGCCCAACGAUAUCGCGAUGAACAGUAUCGGGUAUUUUUAAAAGUGUUAUUGUGCCGACUAGCAUCUCAACUGUCCUUUGUUCUAGACCGGAAAGCCACUUGCCCCAGAGGGGCGGUGCGCAUCAUGAUAGGUGACCAACUAUGUCUGUUGCUGUGGAAAAAUUAUGUUGUUCGAAAACGAAAUCCAGGUAUGCUGGCUCUGGUCUUAUUAUGGCCAGUGUUGGUAUUCCUCGUUUUGUAUGCCGUACGAGAUAAUACCGAUCCUGAGUACAACCCAACUUGUCAAUUCCCUGCUCGACUGAUGCCUCAAAAUGAAUUCCUGCCAUUUCUGCAAAAUUUUAUUUGUACCUUGGGCAAUCCCUGCAAGCCUCUAUCAGAAUACGAGGAAGUACCGUCGUACAAGAAUGCCAAACUCGGACCGUUGUUAAACGCUCUGCAGCCAAUGAUUAAAAAUGAAACAACCUUCAGUGUCGUCAAAGCUUUACCUAAGAGUAUCAAAUUUUUCAAAUCCAUGGCUGAAGUUCUAACUCGACCAGGUGUUAAGAAAAUAUUUGAAAGAGGUAUUUCCCUCGGUGACUUAUUCAGUGAUCAUGAUGAGAUCAGAGAUCUCAUACAACGUGAAGUGCCUAAUUUCAGUCCGGUAGUAGUGGAUAAUAUUCUGAAUGCUUCUAUAAAACUACAAUAUCUUGCUGCGGCUUUUGGAUCCUCUAAUAUGGAUGGUAUUAUUUGCACGCCAGAGAGUUUAAAGCAAUUCCUCAUCCUCGAAACUGACGAGGAUCUUUUGAAAGUGUCUAAAGCACUCUGUUCUCUGAAUUCAACAUUAAUUCCAGAACUUCUGCAGAGAUUGACCGAACAACUAGAUUUCAACGGACUGUUCAGCAUGGUAAAUUUGGUGAUGGCCAAGUUUAGUAGUUAUGAUAUUUUCAGAGAUCUUCAACAAACUGCAGAUUCCAUAUUGAGUUUGAGAAUGGUAGACUUACAUGUACCAAAAAAGCUAAGACUUCAGGAAUGGCUACCAAAGAUAAUUCCACUCUUUAGAAACGUAACUUUCAAGGAGAUCAACUUAUCAUUCAUUACCGAUGCGAUUGAUUUGUUGGACCCAAUAUUUCAAAAUGAAGCUAAUUGGCCUAUCGCGAGAAAUGGUUUUCUCAAACUAAACUUGAUGCUGCAAAUGGUCAAAAAUACGUUUCAGAAUAAUUCAAUCGACCCAUCGACUCACGAAAGUGUUUUUACAAUGACAGAGAAUAUUUUGACAAAUUUGAAUACUUCUUUCCACUCUUACGAAGCUGUAAAUGUAGGUAAAAUUUUGGAUGCCGCCUGGGAAGUAUUAUUGGGAGGUACCAAGCUUACUAAGAUUUUGUUGAGUGAGCAUCAAGGUGACAUUGAAGUAACGGCCGAGGUUUUCGACAGCCUGAGGAAUUUUUUUCCGAAGAAGAUCAUGAACAAUUUGUCAUACUUAAUUUCGUUAACGGAUGUGAUUGUUCAAGCUACACACCACGUUGCUACUCUUCAUUUUGAAACCUCGAAAAGAAUUUGGGACAUUGCCCAGAAUCAUACUUCACUUGUACGUUCUAUUUUAAUGACAAAUCCUACGAUUUAUCGGAAAAUCGUAGAAUCCCUAUCACAACUUGAUAUAGUCGAGAAUUUCUUACAAAUAAAUAAGGGUGCCGGAGAAGUAUUUUGCGACCAGAAAAUGCUCCAGAAAAUUAUUAAUGACUCCAAAGACUCACCACAAGAUUACAGAGCUACUUUAAAUAUUCUUUGCAGCGAAGAAGGAAAAAAGUUUUUAACCGAAAUCUACGACAGUUUCAACUUUAAAAAUUUUGAACAUCUGGUACAAAACAUGCUGGACACAUUUGUUUAUGGAGCCAUAGGAUUACCAGUGCCAAUGAGUACUUCUAAUUUAACAACUGUUAUCCGAAGCGUUAAGAAAUUUGUGCUUUAUUUAGAAACUCCUAAAUCAUCAAAGGAACCCGAUUGGAAAAUUUUUGCCCCAAGCAGUACUUGGUCUGAUACACAUCGGAACAUGAGUCCUCGGGGCAGAUUGGACAUACUUGCGAUUCACCUGAGCAUUGCCAAAAAAGUGGGGUUGCGCAGUUUAAGUUUCGGUACUAUUAAGCCUAGCCUCACUAAAAUGGAUUACUUGGCUGAAACAUUAGUUCGAAGCUUAAAAAAUGAACCGAUGGAUUGGGUAAAAGAAGUUGACGAAGACGUACCCCAACUAGUCAACGCUUUUUAUUUGACUGCCGCAAAUAGGUCGAAGGUCUUAAAUAUCUUUGAAAUUUCAAACUUUACGCAUGCUUAUUGCAAAGUCUCUGACCCACCUCACCUUAUCAUUUAUCCAAAAGGGACGAAUGAGACUCGUUUGAAACGUCGAAUUUGUCAAAUUUCUGAAUACAUCGAAGGCAAAAUACAUUAUGGAUCUGAAAAUGAAAGGAAGACUUCGAAUUUUUCACUGAGCCAAAAUUCUUUUGAUUGGACAGAUUUCAACAAAAGAGUGAUAACGAUUUAUAGCCAUAUAGAUAGAAUUAUCCAUAUAAAGUAUCCAGAAUACAAUUUUACCGAACGGCAUGAGUUGAAAGAUCUGUUCAUUAAUUCUUGGACGAAAAAUAUCACUUCUCGCGAUGGCUGGGAAAUCAGUGUAGCUCUCCUGUGUAAGUUGGGCGAAAUACUUGAUAGUCGACUGUAUGAAUUUAUGUAUCAUCAACAAUGGGAAACUAUCAAGUUGUGGGCCACAGCAUUUUCGAAAGUUUUUCAGACUAUCGAGGAUCGAAUUACGAUUAUUAUGGAUAAAAACGGGACAUCUUCAAUUGGGUUGAAUUUAAUGCCGGAAACCGAAAUUUUUGAAGAAAUCGUUCUGAGAAAUAUCAAGGACGGCGUCAAUGAUGUCGCAGACUUACUAACAUUGAAAAUGCAAAAUCUUUCCGCAAUCAUUGAGUACAAAACUCACGAAACAGACUGGCCUUGUUUAAAAAAACAAAGCGUUGGUGAAAUUCUAGACGUUCGCAAUGGAACUCGUAAGAUUAUCAGAGAAAUUGAGAGAAUAGCUUGUAACCCUGGAUUUUUCAUCAAUGAAUGGAAACAGUUGUUUGAUAUACAUACCAACGGAGAUCGUAAUUAUGAGACACCGUUCGAUUGGACUGGAGGUUACAAAAAAUUCAGACGCCUUGUUGCAAAUCUUACCAAGUUAUCCUGGGAAUCGAGCAUUAUUUUAGGCGAACCAAAAAUCUCUUUCAAUGAUGUCCAAAACGUUUUCAAACAUGCCACAAGAUUCGUUAAAAGUAAAUUUACGGACUUGACCGAUUGGAAUAACGUUGUAACGAGCCUCGAUAACAAAUUAAACGACCUAGUGAGUAGAAACAAUUACUCAACUUGGUCAACCGAUGAAAUUCAGAAUACGAAACAUGAUGUGGAUAUUCUAACCAGGUUCAGUGUUCUUGCCAAAUAUGGAAGUCAUGUAAUUUAUCAAAUUCUAACCGUUGCGUCGGAUAUUCUAAACAAAGGACCAAAGACAGAUGCUUUCUCUAUACUUGGAUUCACCGAUAAGAGUCCCAUUAAAAUUGCAUACUCACAUCUCCCGGAUCUCACAGCGACCUUUAUCACCGGUCUUUCUAGUUCAUCCAUAAUGAAGAAAAUUUCGUCAAUUUCAAAAAAUCCGUAUGGUGGUCCAACUUGUGCAGAUGUGUUUCAUUGGUUUGCCGAGUUUAGGCAAGAGAUUUCUCCGGAGGACUAUACCAGACUGAAAAAUGGCACUUGUGAUUUGGAUCCAAUAAACUUCAAUGCAUUUACCGAUCUUCUUUUGAACGAAGGAAUAGUCCGUACAAUGCCAGUAAAGGACUACCCACUCUACGCUGGAAGGACCAUCCUCAGAAUGUAUGAAUUUGGUAGAGCCGUGAAAAAUGCCGUAACUAAUGGGUUGAAGAUCAAGUCACCCUUUACUUCAGAGUACUGGGAUGCCGUUGGUAAAAAAUUAACACAUGACCUAAAAGCACAUCGUACUCCCCAGCAGAUUAGAUACGUUGACUCUGAGAAUACCCUUCAUGUUGCUGUAGAGUUUAUUGCCGAACUAUUGAGACACGUUGCGGGAUCACUCCAGAAGAUCGGAAUUAAGAAAGUGCCAAGUGGUAAAUUCUACCUUUGGGAUUUGGUGGAAGAUGGCGAUGUCCGGCAGUUGUUGAAAAUUCUUGAAGCACAUCCCUCAGAAUCGAUCUCACUUGCUGCAACUAUAGUUAGGUUCGACCCAACGCUUGCUCAACCAAUGUUGAUUCGUGAUCUACAACAUAACAUGUGCGAUCGACACUUUGGUACAGGAUUCUGGAAUAAUACUGAGAAAAUUAAUUUUUUGAAAAGAGUGUGUUCGUUUGACCCGCACCAACUGCUGAAAAGUGCAACAAGCCAAGAAUUCUAUGAUUUAAUGUAUGGUCCCCGUUCUAAAGUACAAAGAGAAUUAUCACUCUCGGAAUAUUUAGCCGAUGCGGUCGAAGCUUUUUCAAAUUUAUCGAAAUCGCAGCCAGAUCUUACUUUCAAAUCGAAUAUAUUUAAUAUUACGAUAUGGAAGGGCCUUGACAAUGAUACCUGGUCGAUAAUCCAAGACACGGAACGAUCUUGGUUGCAUUAUUAUUUCGACAAGAUGAACAUUGAAAAACUCAGUAAUGAUAGGCACGACUCUAUUUCGGAUGAUUACAAAAUUCCUCAAAUUGCUCAAAAUCUAAAUGGCUUUGACUACAUAAUUCAGAGUUUAAGCCUGUCAUUUGAUUUAUUCUUCGGAGGAGAUAUAUGGUCAAAGUUACGUGCUGUUUACGAGAGUAAACCUGUGAUGAAAGUGACAUUGUCGAUGGCUGAGGAUAUGCCUAACUUGAUGUUAUCGGUCGUGCACACAUUCUUCAAUAAGGAAAUACAAACUUCCGAUGUUACCGCACUGGUGAUGGGGAAAGUAAAAUUUUGUGAAGUCAACAAGUACUUGAUAGAGCCAAAGUAUAUGCGGAGAAAGGGACUUCUUGGUAGCUUUUCUCAUUUAUGUCAGCAACUUCGUAACUAUGAUGCAAGGGACAUUAUUCCAAUUGAUGCUAGCAUCCCAACUUCUUUAUUCUUCAAUCGCAACGAAUCAAACCUGACCUUCGCAAGAUCAGAGACCCUUAUACUGAACCAUAUAAAACAACUGCAAUCGCUGAUUAUUAAAACAAUGGCUGAAGGAUUUAAAGAUUUCAGGUUACCGGCCUACUGGACAUCAUUUAUGGCUGGGAACUUUAAGGAUUUUUUGACUGAAUAUGAAUCGAUGGACCCACAAAGCCUGGUUAACAUGACUGCCCGUCAAAUAUCAGCGUUCCUUGAAAGCAUGUUAGAAAUUGAACUAGGUCCCGCUGGCCGUUGUUCUUGGUGUGGUAGCGCAACAAAUUUGUUACAUACUUUGAAUACACAAUUAUCGCAACACGAAACUUAUGCAACACUUAUUUGCUUGGCCGAGGAAUUGGAUUUCGCAAAAAUACGUGUCAUUUUGUUUGACAAACUAAACUGGAAGGGAAUAUUGAACAAGGUAAACCAAAUCCAAACCAAGGGGAUAUUAAACAAGGGUAUCAGACUUGAUGAUGUUACGGAGGCUAGUUCAGUCCCAGCUUUUUCGGCGGAGUUGAACAAUACGUUACACUACUUAGCAGAAAUAGCGUUCAGAUUUUCCAAGGUGAAUAAUUCGGUGAUGUAUUCUUGCGUUAACCACAAAUUUGACGGUUCCCGUGUCUCAAAACCAACAACAUAUGUCAACGUGUUCCGUAUAUUGUUGACUUUAAUAUAUGAGAAUGUAUACCUUUUGGAUACUGCUUAUACUCAUAAGAAAUUAUCAGAAUUAGGAAAAAUGGCGGAAAAAACCACGCUAAUCUGGUUACCAGUAGUUGAUACUGUACUAGAAUCAGAUGUUAACGAAGUGGACGAAUUACUACACGGUGCUUUAAUCAAUGUGAAUAUGCUGACGACAGAUAUUGUUCAUAACGAAACAAAGUUGUACGAAAUUCUUGUUUCCAAACAAGCAAAAUAUUUUCUACAAUACUCAAAUACUUCUUUCGACAUUCCAUCCACUAGCGAUGUUUCUCAACAACUAGCCAAAAGUUUAGAUUCAAGAAAAAUACAAGGAAAAAUAACUAUAUGGCGAUAUGAAGCUACAACGCAAUUAUAUUGGCUUAAGGAUAUACUGAAAAACUUGGAAAUGAUUGCUGCCGAAGCCGGGCAUCUGUUGGAUGUUGCCAGUGGAAUGGAUUUCAGCAAAGAUUUGUCGCAAGCUUCCGACUCACUUGAAGAAGUCAUUCAAUUGCUGAGAGAAGAAACAAUCGAUAAAUUUUUUGAUGGUUUCAACGAACUUCUGGACCACACGGAACCAUUCAUUAGCGAUCCGAUAGUCAAAGAUGACUUGCGUACUGUAUUGAGCACGCUGGAAUCCAUGGAAAUAUUCAAAAAUCUCGGACUACUCAAUACAAAAUAUGCUAUCAAAGAAAUGUUCCCCAACUGGCCCAAUCUGCGAUCAUACCUAACAAAAACCUUGGCAUUACCCGGUGAUGUGACUAAGGCAUUGAGCGGAGGAAAAGUAAACAUGCUGUCUGUAUACUCAAAGGAACGUCAAGCCGUUAGCUUGACGGACACAAUUUGUUCACCGGAAAAACUUGGAGAAAUAAUAGAGUUCAAGGGCGAUGAGACCAUGAUAGAAGAAAUCAGCGCCUCUUUAUGUCAACUCAGCAGUGAACAGAUCCAAUCUAUAACUAUUAGUUUAAUCAAAAAGCUGAAAUUUGGAACCCUUUUCAAAGAUAUUAUGAGUGCCAGUGUAAAAAAUAUUUUAUCGAACGCAAAUUUGAAUGAAAAAGAAGGAGUUGAAAUCAUAAAUAACUUGGGGUUCGCCGCCAAGUUGGUACCGCUUCUGAAGGAUGCUGUCACUAACAUGUCUGACCAAUUUUCAGCCGACUAUUUGGUUGCUAAUGAAACAGAAUCUUUUUCACCUAGCGAAAAAAUAAGUUUUGGAAAGUUUCUGUCCGAUACUGGUGAAAUGUUGUGUGGUCAACCAGUUGUCGAGGACACCGGUAGAUUUUACAAAGUGAUAUCUAAUAUCCGCGAAAAUGGGCAAGAAUUCAAUGAAGACGAAUUAACUUCACUUCCAAAUGAUUUCUGUAGGGAUACUUAUAAGGAAAUAUCAAGAAUAGGUGCUGGAAAAAUUGUAUGGUCGUACGUAAAGCCUUUGUUACGUGGACGUAUAUUGUACACGCCGCAAACGAAGAUUAUCGACAGUGUUAUGAAGGAAGUUAAUUCGACUUUUUUCUACAUUGAAAAUUUUGGUAUCUUGAUUGAUAGUUUUGCAAAGAGUAUGAGCGCUCUCGCCAAUCUGACAGAAUUGGGAGACGAUUUGACAGAUUUAAACCAGAUCCUGGCAUCAGAUUUGAUGAAAAUAGCGGUAAAAUCGCUCAGUGGUCCUUCUCUUGCUACUGAUUUAGCGAACUUUGACCUUGGAAAGUUAGCUUGGAGGAUGAAGAAUUCACAUAAAUUAGUAGAAAUUGUACAAAUGCUGAACAGACUAAUGGACUGCGUUUUGACCGAUCGUGUGAUCGGGUUUGCGAGCGAAAAGGAGUUGGAAGAAGAAGCUGGUAGACUCAUCAAAACCAAUGACUUUCUGGCCGGUGUCGUUUUUAUGGAUGAAAGUCCCGUAAGAAUAAAGCGAUCUUAUGUAGAAGAACUGCCGGAAAACAUAACUUACAAAAUUCGUAUGGAUGUUGACUCUGUACCCUCAACUUCGAGGUUAAAGAAUCAAUUUUGGACUCCAGGACCGGACAGCAGUUUUAUCGAAAAUUUGCGCUACCUAAGAGGUUUCAUCCAAUUGCAAGAUUCGAUCGAUCGUGCACUCAUAAAAGCCAAAACACAGACUAAACUAGAAUGGCAAACAGUCUCUCAGCAGAUGCCGUAUCCAUGCUGGAAGUUCUUCACGUUCCAAUCAUCGUUGUACGAAUCUCAAGGACUCCAGGUUUGUUUCUUCUUUGCAUUGAUGGUGUGCGUAGGGGCAGCUGUAAGGCACAUCGUAUGGGAGCGAGAGUCACAAAACGCGAUGGUUAUGAGCGUAAUGGGUUUGAAGCCAUGGCGUAAUACCUUUGCAUGGUUCAUAACAUCGAUGAUUGAACUUAGCAUAGUAGCGAUAUGCAUUCAUAUAAUAUUAAUUACCGGUAAAAUUUUACCACAUUCCGAUCCUGUUUUGGUACUAUUUCUACUCCUUGAUUAUGUCUUCGCAUCUGUAACUUUCUGUUACAUGAUCUCAACAAUGUUCAGCUCAGCCAGUUUGGCAGCUGUUACUACAGUAGUAAUGUUCUUGCUUACGUACAUGCCUUACAUUAUCGUGAUUGCCAUGGAGGCUAGUGUGAAACUUACUCUCAAAUUACUAUUGUGUUUGAGCAUGUCCACGAGUUUCUGUUACGGAUGUCUUUUUGCGGUUAGAUUGGAAGUGCAGGGUAUUGGUUUAACUUGGGAUGCUGUCUGGAAAGAAACGAGCCCUGGAGAUUCUAUGUCUCUGGGGUUAGUAUUGCUGACAAUCGCCUUUGACGGAUGUUUGUAUGCGUUGAUUGGCUACCUUGUCACCAAAUACACGAAUUCAGGUAGAGGGUUUUAUGGAUUGAGAUCCAUUAGCUUAUGGUGGGCUGACACCCGUUCGUUCUAUGGGCGACCCAGCUACCUCGCCUUCGAGAACCAGGUGUAUUUCACUAACGAUGCUGUUGAACUAUCCGCAAGCACACAUGAAGAUGUCGGAGGUGACACCAGCAGCUUACAUGAAAACGACGAGAAGCAAACCGGAGUUCGUUUCGAUGAGGUGCGAAAGGUUUACCAAACGGAAAGUGGAGAAUGUGUUGCAGUGGACGAUUUUUCCAUAAAAUUAAUGGAGGGAGAAGUAACGACUCUUCUCGGAAGAAAUGGCGCUGGGAAAACUACUGUGAUUAAAAUGCUCACUGGCAUGGAAGCACCAACCAGUGGACAGAUCUGGCUGCCCAAUAGCAGCUCUAAUAAACCUAACAUAGGAGUUUGUCCCCAGAACAAUGUUCUUAUUGGAUGUCUUACUGCUCGUGAGCACAUGAUAUUUUACGCAAGAUUAAAGAAUAAUGAAGUCGGAUAUGAUAUGGAUAGAGACAUUGAUACGAUGUUGACUUCGAUGGAAUUGAAUGGGCAAGAGGACGAGCUCGUUUACAGACUUUCCGGAGGCACACAGCGUCGCCUAUGUGUUUGUUUAGCGUUUCUCGGUUCACCGACAUUGGUUAUUCUUGAUGAACCCGGUGCUGGAGUGGAUCCAGCAGCUCGUCGGAGAAUCUGGCGUUUAAUCGACAAACACCGUAUUGGAAGAACCGUUUUGCUGUCUACUCAUCACAUGGACGAAGCUGACAUGCUGAGCGAUACCGUAGUCAUAAUGCACAAAGGAAAAAUUCUCUGCAGUGGUUCACCGUUGUCAUUGAAAUCGAGUUAUGGACAUGGUUAUAAAAUUACCGUAUGUUUUCCGUUGCAAGACUCUAGGACUAGAACUAUACAGGAGAGAAGAGAUGAUUCGCAAAUGGUAUCAGAACAUUUGGAAACCUUGAUGACCGUUCUAGAAGAAGUAGUUCCCAAUACAUUGCUCAAAGGUGUGAGUAAUUCAGAAGCAAAUAUAAUUAUACCCUUCCAAAGAGCAAACGGAAUGGCAAAUGAUAUGGUGGAAGUUAUGAAAAUUCUUGAAGAUAAUCAACACAUAGCGGGGUUCUCUCACUUUAAUGUAGAGUGUGAUACACUUGAAAGAAUUUUUCUGGAUAUGUGCACCCAUGCGGACAGCGGGCAGAUGUACCCAAAGCCCACAAGUUUGGAAAGCUUGAAUAGUAUUAGCAGUAUUGGACUUGCUAAUCCUCCUGACGACGUUGACUUGAUUGAUCAUGAACCCAAGAUGCCGCAAUCCGUGAUACGACAAGGUAAAGCUCUGUUGAAAAAGAGAUGGUGGCAUUUUUCACGUGAUUGGUGUGCACUUCUUGCGGCACUAGUUUUGCCAACCUUAUUCGUCGCAGUCGCAAUGGGCUUUUCUUUGAUCCGACCGCCUUCCGACAAUCAACCACCUCUAUCUUUGACCCCUGAACUAUACAACACUCAUCCAUUACGUUUUUACAGCAUUGACAAUACCAGCGAUAAAUUCCAUGGAAGUAUUUCGCUGCAACUGCACAACCGUUUUGGGGACGACUAUGCAGGAGCUUGGCAAACUUCACCGAAUGACAAGCAAACCUGCAAAUGCCUCGACGGUGAUCAAGUUUGUUACGGACUUCCACCUCCAUAUGAAGGUUUAAUCGAGACUUUUCCGGGUCGUCCAACACUUGACUGGAUCGUAUCAACGCAGCAGCAAUAUAUUGAGAGAAGGUAUGGCGGAUGGUCCUUAUCGCACAUGGAGCCGGAGAAUAAGACAGGGCUAUUCGUGGUUUGGUACAACAAUAAGGGACACCAUUCAUUGCCGGCUUACAUCAACGCUCUCAACGAGGCAAUCUUUAAAGCAAAUGGAGCGUCAGGUCAUCUGACCACAAUAAAUCAUCCGAUCAAGUUAUCCAGAGAUCAACUUAACCGUACCAGCUUACUUCAACACGUGGCUGAUGUCGGUGUGGCCCUUGUAUUGCUAGUGGCUUUUAGCCUCGUUGGUGCUCAGGGUGCAAAGGAACUAGUUCGGGAAAGACUCUCUGAAGAAAAACGAAUUUUCUACCUAGCCGGAGUUCGACCAUUAACUUAUUGGACCACUGCGCUGAUUUGGGACAUUCUGGUGUUUGCAGUAUCAAUUCUCCUAGCGGUGAUAGUCUUCGAGAUAUUUGGACUUCCUGCUUACGUAGCCAGAGAUAACCUUUCAUCAGUUUGUGUUAUUUUGUUUCUUUACGCGUGGGCAGUGAUUCCAUUCACGCAUUUGGCGGAAAAAAUUUUCGAUGAUGCCAGUCUCUCAAACAUGGUUCUUUUCUGCCUGAACACUUUUAUCGGAGUCUCAUCGCUGGCAACGAUUCUAAUAAUCGACAUUCUUGGAAAAACUAAAACCGCUGAAGACUUUAGAAACUUCCUUCAUCAACUACUACUAAUUUUUCCCCAGUAUGCUCUUGGAGAUGGUCUUGUACAAAUGUCAAAAAACGACAUUACUGCUAGUCUUUUGGAAAGAUUUCACAUGAAUACCUACAAGUCACCACUGAGCUGGGAACUUUUAGGUCCGCACUGCCUUUAUCUGUUCGCGGUAGGAGCGAUUCUCUUCGCGAUUAACUUGGUUGUUGAAUGUCGCACGCUACCAGAUAUUUUUAAGCAAAAAGUCGUGUAUCGAAACAGUGAAGAGGACGAAGAUGUAGCCAGGGAGCGGAUCAGAGUCGAAAAAGGACUCUGUAAUGACGUAUUGAAGACAAUUAAUCUUCGUAAGGAGUACAAAAGUGUUGCUGGAAAGAAUGUUGCCGUCCAGGAUCUCAGCUUUGGAAUCCAGGCAGGAGAGUGCUUCGGUCUUUUUGGCGUUAACGGAGCAGGAAAAAGUACAACCUUCAAGAUGUUGACGACAGAGAUUAUACCUACGGCUGGUGAGGUUGUUAUAAAUGAUAAAGAGGUUGGGUCUGGUCCACUGUGCUCUGGAGACUUGGGAUACUGUCCUCAGAGCAACGCUCUGGACCCCUUCCUUACGCCACAUCAAUCUUUGACUAUCCACGGUGAAAUCUGUGGCCUCAGAAAUGUUCCGAGGGCCGUUGAACUCUCUAUGAAGCGUUUCGAUCUUAUCAAAUAUGCUCACCAAAGAGUAGCGAACCUUAGUGGUGGAAAUAAGAGAAAACUAUGUGCGGCCAUUAGCACUAUGGCACCGACACAAGUCGUUCUAAUGGAUGAGGCAACUAGUGGCAUGGAUCCAGCAGCAAAAUACCUGGUUGCUAGGGCAGUGAAGUCUAUCCUCAAAAAUCAAGGUAGUGUGCUAAUAACGUCUCAUAGCGUAGCUGAAUGUGAAGAUCUUUGCACUCGCGUCGGCGUUUUGGCCAAAGCAGGCCUAAAAUGUAUUGGAUCGCCGCAAUACCUUAAACACAAGUAUGGAGAAGGCUACAUCGUGUCCUUGCGGUUCAAAAGCCCCACUUGUUUAACAGAUCUAUUGAAAGCGAUAGCCACGCACCUUCCAGGAACUAGUAUUGCUUCCAGACAGGCUCUCGCUGCUCGAUUUUUGGUACCACGUAAUCAUGACAUGAAGCUGAGCACAGUCUUCGCAAAGGUCAAAGAUUUGGCACGUGAAUUGAAUGAUGCGGACUAUACGCUUACUCAGAGUUCACUAGAUCAGUCACACCAAGCUUAAAUAAGAGGGUCACAAUCGACUUUACUUGGGUGUUCGUCAUUCCGUCUUUGACGACGAAGUCAAUGGUGGAUGUCAACUCAUUGAAGAGAGGGAAAGGUGUUUACAAGAGUCGGGAACCAUUCUUUUAUCCCAAUGGUUUUGGUGAACUUGUCAGAAGAAUCGGAUGACGAAAGAAAUUUUGAACAUGGAAGUUCAAGUGACUCGCAAUUGUAUUCAAAUCUUGGCGCCAUUCAUAUGAAUACUAUGCGGCGUGAACGGUUUACCCCAUUACCU
rnacentral:misc_RNA from 1 species